UACGUAGGGUGCAGGCGUUAAUCGGAAUUACUGGGCGUAAAGCGUGCGCAGGCGGUCUGCUAAGAGAGGUGUGAAAUCCCCGGGCUUAACCGGGGAACUGCGUCUGAUACUGGAUGGCUUGAGUUUGGGAGAGGGAUGCGGAAUUCCAGGUGUAGCGGUGAAAUGCGCAGAUAUCUGGAGGAACACCCGUGGCGAAGGCGGCUCUCUGGAACGCAACUGACGCUGAGACGCGAAAGCGUGGGGAGCAAACAGG
rnacentral:rRNA from 1 species